CUUCUAGAAGAUUGCCAGCAGCCGCGGUAAUACGUAGGGUGCAAGCGUUGUCCGGAUUUAUUGGGCGUAAAGAGCUCGUAGGCGGCUUCGUAAGUCGGGUGUGAAACCUCCAGGCUUAACCUGGAGACGCCACCCGAUACUGCGAUAGCUAGAGUCUGGUAGGGGAUCACGGAAUUCCUGGUGUAGCGGUGAAAUGCGCAGAUAUCAGGAGGAACACCGAUGGCGAAGGCAGUGAUCUGGGCCAGUACUGACGCUGAGGAGCGAAAGCGUGGGGAGCAAACAGGAUUAGAUACCCUGGUAGUCCACGCCGUAAACGUUGGGCACUAGGUGUGGGUCCUUAUCAACGGGAUCCGUGCCGCAGCUAACGCAAUAAGUGCCCCGCCUGGGGAGUACGGUCGCAAGACUAAAACUCAAAGGAAUUGACGGGGGACCGCACAAGCGGCGGAGCAUGUUGCUUAAUUCGAUGCAACGCGAAGAACCUUACCUAGGUUUGACAUGUACGGAAAAGCUACAGAGAUGUGGUGUCCUUCGGGGCCGUACACAGGUGGUG
rnacentral:rRNA from 1 species